rnacentral:lncRNA from 10 species
CCCAGCACAGAGCAGAGUAGAACAGAGUAGGAUUGGAGCUGAGAGAUAGUAAGUAAAUAGGCAGCAGAAAUAUGUCAAGCAACAAUACCCCAUGUCAGCAUUUUACCUAUGGAUGGCAUUUUCUAUUUUCGGUGACGGACUAUGAGCCAGGAUAAACACAUUACUCUCUUCUUUAACAAAAAGAGCAUGGUUAACUCCAAAGACUUCUCUAGACCAGCCUGGAUGGUACCUAAACUUUAAUCAACCAAUGCUCAAGUAAAAGAGCAGUAUCCAGCCCCAGCACACCUAACUGUUUUGCAUAACAUAGUCUCUGAUUUCAGGAGCAGAAGAAAAUAUAUAAGAAGAGAUUUACCUGGGUAACGGUUAAGUUUCCCAAUCUCCAUCGUACAUAAUAUCGAAUAGGAAUCACAAGUGUGUAGAGGACAUGAAGGAAGGCAAAUCCCAGAGCUACCAAGCCAAGCUGCUUUCGGCAAAGCAUCCAGUGGUCAAGCCAGUCUGGGAAUCGACGGUAUUUUGUGCCUCGGUACAGUUGUAGAAUGGCAGCAAUAACACCAGGGAGGUAAACCAAAGCAAGCAGUUGCUCCUGACUGGAGAGCCCAGGCUGAGAUGGUGUUAAAUGCUUUUACCACGUGGGCUCCUGGCACCAAAUGAGCAAGAUCUCACCCCACAGGCCUUGGAAACCUGAGGCAGUAUUCUUCUGGGAUGUUUCCAACUAGGCUUCCCAUGAGGAUGUUAGAGCCAGCCUGGCUGGUGAAUUUUACUUCUCUCACCUCUCAGAGGUAAGAGGUCUGAGAGGCUCAGGCCCUUCCAGCUUUUGAGGA